rnacentral:rRNA from 1 species
UACGGGGGGAGCAAGCGUUGUUCGGAAUUACUGGGCGUAAAGCGCGUGUAGGCGGUUGUCCAAGUUGGAUGUGAAAGCCUUGAGCUUAACUCAAGAAAUGCAUUCAGGACUGGAUGACUAGAGGACCGGAGAGGAUAGUGGAAUUCCCAGUGUAGUGGUGAAAUACGUAGAGAUUGGGAAGAACACCGGUGGCGAAGGCGGCAUCCUGGACCGGUACUGACGCUGAGGUGCGAAAGCGUGGGGAGCAAACAGG